UCGGGUGGCACAUUGAUAGUAAAUUUAAAAUAUCAGAACAGCAAAUAGAAAUAGUAUAAUGCCCCCGGGGUCAUAUGUUUAUAGGACUACGUUCUAGAGUAGUAUGCCGAUGACAACUUUCUGGUUUAAAAGACGUGACAACCCAUCAUUUCUUUUUUUUACUUUGACAAUAUCACAUUUAACAUUCUCUUUCUAGAAAUA
rnacentral:lncRNA from 1 species